CGAUCUGCUGUGGGCAAAUAAAAUGGAUAUGGCUGUCAAAUCCACCGGCUGUCAAAAUGCGGUUUUCGCCCGCAAUGACCUCGGUGCCCGGGCCAACAAUGACAUCGACCCCGGGCUGUGUGUCCGGGUUUCCGGCUUUGCCAAUGGUCUGGAUACGCCCACCUUUCAGGCCAACAUCCGCUUUGUAGAUGCCGGAAUGGUCAACGAUCAGCGCGUUGGUAAUAACCGUAUCCACGGCCCCUUCGGCGCGUGUGGCCUGGGAUUGUCCCAUCCCAUCGCG
rnacentral:sRNA from 1 species